rnacentral:rRNA from 1 species
UUAAGUGACGAUAGCCUAGGAGAUACACCUGUUCCCAUGCCGAACACAGAAGUUAAGCCCUAGAACGCCUGAUGUAGUUGGGGGUUGCCCCCUGUUAGAUAUGGUAGUCGCUUAGC